AACGCCUCUUCCUUUAAUUACCGAAAGCUUAUUCCAAGAAGAAAGAUCUGUUUGAAAUAGCAAAUGGUAUUUUGAUCGUCAGAGCAGAGAGUUGGACUUACCUGAAGACUUACCUUCAUUCUAAGCAGUGCUCCCUGGGAGGCUGCUUCUACACCUAAAUGCAGCUGUGAUGGAGUCCUGAGAGCUUCACUCCUGGAUCUAGGCCUUGGGGAUUCACCCCUGGGACUGACCCACUGGCCUCCCUGCAAACGUGGCAGUUCACAGAGUCUGGCCUCUGCUGCACUGGUUACCUGUGACCCCCAGGAACAAACAGGACACAUUUUUCUCCAGAAGCAAUAAGAGUAUUUUUCAAUGCUGCCUUUGCCACCAUUGCCAUCCCAGCUGGCAACACCUGGAAAAUUCCAUGGCCAGGUGUGCAUCCCUGGGUUGCAGGUAACAGAGAUACACAGAUACAGGUAACAGAGAUACUUGACCCUCCUGCCUUCUCCUUAGAGCAGAGAGAGCUUUUGGGUGGCUGGGUCCUGGUCUCCCUCCCCAAUCUUCCUGUCAGUCCUCUCUUAGUGCUUCACCCCUUGGUAGGGGCAUCUGGCACCGGCUCUCUGCAGCCCCUGCUGCCAGCCAGAGCAGGGGGACAGCGCUGCCCCAGCACGGUCCCUGUGGGUACCAGCACAGGGUCUGUGCCAGCCCCACAGGCAAUGGAAGCCCAGAGGCACCUCGAGGUGCUCGGCAGUGCUUUCCUCACCUGCAGCAGCUCCACUGAAGGGAGGUGUAGGGAAUGCUGGGCUCCUGGAUGGCUUCGAUGAAUGGAGACCAGAGAUCUCUGAAGGCUGCUCUUAGAAUAUAGG